rnacentral:piRNA from 1 species
UCAGACAGGUGGACUCACUGCAACCCAGG